rnacentral:rRNA from 1 species
AGAGUUUGAUCCUGGCUCAGGACGAACGCUGGCGGCGUGCUUAACACAUGCAAGUCGAACGAAGAGCGAUGGAAGCUUGCUUCUAUCAAUCUUAGUGGCGAACGGGUGAGUAACGCGUAAUCAACCUGCCCUUCAGAGGGGGACAACAGUUGGAAACGACUGCUAAUACCGCAUACGAUCCAAUCUCGGCAUCGAGGAUGGAUGAAAGGUGGCCUCUAUUUAUAAGCUAUCACUGAAGGAGGGGAUUGCGUCUGAUUAGCUAGUUGGAGGGGUAACGGCCCACCAAGGCGAUGAUCAGUAGCCGGUCUGAGAGGAUGAACGGCCACAUUGGGACUGAGACACGGCCCAAACUCCUACGGGAGGCAGCAGUGGGGAAUCUUCCGCAAUGGACGAAAGUCUGACGGAGCAACGCCGCGUGAGUGAUGACGGCCUUCGGGUUGUAAAGCUCUGUUAAUCGGGACGAAAGGCCUUCUUGCGAAUAGUUAGAAGGAUUGACGGUACCGGAAUAGAAAGCCACGGCUAACUACGUGCCAGCAGCCGCGGUAAUACGUAGGUGGCAAGCGUUGUCCGGAUUUAUUGGGCGUAAAGCGAGCGCAGGCGGUUCCUUAAGUCUGAUGUGAAAGCCCCCGGCUCAACCGGGGAGGGUCAUUGGAAACUGGGGAACUUGAGUGCAGAAGAGGAGAGUGGAAUUCCAUGUGUAGCGGUGAAAUGCGUAGAUAUAUGGAGGAACACCAGUGGCGAAAGCGGCUCUCUGGUCUGUAACUGACGCUGAGGCUCGAAAGCGUGGGGAGCGAACAGGAUUAGAUACCCUGGUAGUCCACGCCGUAAACGAUGAGUGCUAGGUGUUGGAUCCUUUCCGGGAUUCAGUGCCGCAGCUAACGCAUUAAGCACUCCGCCUGGGGAGUACGACCGCAAGGUUGAAACUCAAAGGAAUUGACGGGGACCCGCACAAGCGGUGGAGCAUGUGGUUUAAUUCGAAGCAACGCGAAGAACCUUACCAAAUCUUGACAUACUCUUGAAUAACUUUGUAAUGAAGUUAGUCUUUCGGGACAAGGGAUACAGGUGGUGCAUGGUUGUCGUCAGCUCGUGUCGUGAGAUGUUGGGUUAAGUCCCGCAACGAGCGCAACC